rnacentral:lncRNA from 1 species
GCAAGAGGACUGCACUGGCACACACUGAAGUGUUGCUUAUGUCAGUGUUAAUUUGCACACAGAAAUACAUGUGAACCAGACAAGUGAACAGUUCUCUAGACUCAUAAUCACUCUGCAAAUCAAGGAUUCAAGGGGUAUUUUUACUAAUAGAAAGGUAGAACAGUUCUCUAGGCUCUUAAUCACUGCAAAUCAAGGAUUUGAGGGGUAUUUUUUACUAACAGGAACAACACGAUAGCAGGGUUCCCUCAAGGUCAAGAGCAGAGGGUGUUUGAAUGUUCUUAAGGUGGAUUGAAAAAUUAAAAAGUUACAUAAACUGGCUCCCAUUAUAUUUAUGUUCGGUCACCUUGAAAUCUAGGCUGAGCCGACAUUCUCCCUGAACCUCCUGAUCUCUUAGGUCACUGUAGGCUGUACGUUAUAAUGAUCUCUUAGGUCACUGUAGGCUGUAAUAUUAUAACGAUCUUUCUGAAAAAUUAGGAGUCUUAAAGGCACAGUCCGCGAUUCGAAGCCUGUACACUUUUUGUCAAAUUCAGUGAAAAGGUCCUUAUCGUCCUGUAGCUGUACGUUCAGUGUUUGCACUCAAACAAACAAACAAACAAUCUCAGCCAAUCAACACAUCAUUUUCGGAGCACGGAAGGGAUGGGGUGUAAUAUAUUUUGGCUGUUGAGCAGAAACAUCAAAAACCUUUCGCAAAACCAAAGCCGAAUAACAGACUCUACCUUCAAGAGUAAGAAACUCCACAGCUGGUAUACAAACGCUUAGAGAAAACCCGAUCAGAAAACCUUCACAACAGGACUGUGACCUUUUCUUCCAAAGAGUGUAGGAUGCAAAAUCUCCUCAUCAUGUUCAUGAUUACCAAUAGAGCAGCAAUGACUUCAUCUCCACAUUCCCAACCGCAUUCCUGUCACAGUUGGGGCCUGAAGGUCGGAUGCUACUGGCUCUUGUGGGUUUGGUGUGAGUGGACAGCGGCAUUCACAGCGGCAAUUUACUCCGCAGUCUUCAAACCACAGCGCGUUCCUCACAUACUUCCAGGGACGUGCGGUCAUAUGAGGCAGCAGAUGGCGCUUGACUCUGCCUGAGGGCCAGUGUGAGCAGCUGAGAUCAGCUCAGAGCUACUCGGGCAGGGUGACCAGGAUCAGCACCAGGCUCUGCCAAAGGGCUGGUGCAAACACGGGUGUGGCACUGCUCAGAGCACACCUUAGGGUGGCGUCACGUCCAGAGGGCCAGGCGUGGGAUUGGGUCACUGUGCUUAGAAGGUUCAGUGUGUUCCACUGCUG